rnacentral:rRNA from 1 species
UACGUAGGGUGCGAGCGUUAAUCGGAAUUACUGGGCGUAAAGCGUGCGCAGGCGGUUGGUUAAGUCUGAUGUGAAAGCCCCGGGCUCAACCUGGGAAUGGCAUUGGAUACUGGCGAGCUAGAGUGUGUCAGAGGAUGGUGGAAUUCCCGGUGUAGCGGUGAAAUGCGUAGAGAUCGGGAGGAACAUCAGUGGCGAAGGCGGCCAUCUGGGACAAAACUGACGCUGAGACGCGAAAGCAUGGGUAGCGAACGGG